rnacentral:lncRNA from 1 species
AAAAAAUUAACCAGACGUGGUGCUGCUCACCCUGUUGUCCCAGCUACUCGGAGGCUGCAGUGAGCCGUGAUUGUGCCACUGCACUUAGCCUGAGCAACAGAGUGAGACCCCAUAUGGGUGCGGGUGUCUGUGAGUGUGGGUGCGUGGUUGUGAUUGUGGUGUGGGUGUCUGUGGGUAUGGGUGUGAGUGUGGUUGUGAUUGUGUGGGUGUGGGUGUGAGUGGUGAUUGUGUGUGGGUGUGGGUGUGAGUGUGGUUGUGAUUGUGUGUGGGUGUGGUUGUGAUUGUGUGUGGGUGUGUGUGGUUGUGAUUGUGUGGGUGUGUGGUUGUGAUUGUGUGGGUGUGGGUGUGAGUGGUUGUGAUUGUGUGGGUGUGGGUGUGAGUGUGGUUGUGAUUGUGUGUGGGUGUGAGUGGUUGUGAUUGUGUGUGGGUGUGGGUGUGUGUGGUUGUGAUUGUGUGUGGGUAUGGGUGUGAGUGUGGUUGUGAUUGUGUGUGGGUGUGAGUGGUUGUGAUUGUGUGUGGGUGUGGGUGUGUGUGGUUGUGAUUGUGUGUGGGUGUGGGUGUGAGUGUGGUUGUGAUUGUGUGGGUAUGGGUGUGAGUGGCUGUGAUUGUGUGUGGGUGUGGGUGUGUGUGGUUGUGAUUGUGUGUGGGUGUGAGUGUGGUUGUGAUUGUGUGGGUGUGGGUGUGAGUGUGGUUGUGAUUGUGUGUGGGUGUGGGUGUGUGUGGUUGUGAUUGUGUGUGGGUGUGAGUGGUUGUGAUUGUGUGGGUGUGGGUGUGAGUGUGGUUGUGAUUGUGUGGGUGCGGGUGUGUGGUUGUGAUUGUGUGUGGGUGUGUGAUUGUGCGUGGGUGUGUGGUUGUGAUUGUGUGUGGGUGUGGGUGUGAGUGGUUGUGAUUGUGUGGGUGUGGGUGUGUGUGGUUGUGAUUGUGUGUGGGUGUGGGUGUGAGUGUGGUUGUGAUUGUGUGUGGGUAUGGGUGUGAGUGUGGUUGUGAUUGGGUGUGAGUGUGGUUGUGAUUGUGUGGGUGUGGGUGUGAGUGGUUGUGAUUGUGUGGGUGUGGGUGUG